ACAACGAAGAGUUUGAUCCUGGCUCAGGAUGAACGCUAGCGACAGGCUUAACACAUGCAAGUCGAGGGGCAGCGGGGAUAUAGCUUGCUAAAUCUGCCGGCGACCGGCGCACGGGUGCGUAACGCGUAUGCAACCUACCUACAAGAGGGGGAUAACCCGGCGAAAGUCGGACUAAUACCGCAUAAAACAGGGGCUCCGCAUGGAGAUAUUUGUUAAAGGAGUGAUCCGCUUGUAGAUGGGCAUGCGUUCCAUUAGGUAGUUGGUUGGGGUAACGGCCCACCAAGCCUACGAUGGAUAGGGGUUCUGAGAGGAAGGUCCCCCACACUGGAACUGAGACACGGUCCAGACUCCUACGGGAGGCAGCAGUGAGGAAUAUUGGUCAAUGGGCGAGAGCCUGAACCAGCCAAGUCGCGUGAAGGAAGACUGCCCUAUGGGUUGUAAACUUCUUUUAUACAGGAAUAAAAGACAUUACGUGUAAUGUAUUGCAUG
rnacentral:rRNA from 1 species